rnacentral:rRNA from 1 species
UUUAAAGAGAGUUUGAUCCUGGCUCAGGACGAACGCUGGCGGCGUGCCUAAUACAUGCAAGUCGAACGAACGGAGGAAGAGCUUGCUCUUCCAAAGUUAGUGGCGGACGGGUGAGUAACACGUGGGCAACCUGCCUGUAAGUUGGGGAUAACUCCGGGAAACCGGGGCUAAUACCGAAUGAUAGAAUGUGGCGCAUGCCACGCUUUUGAAAGAUGGUUUCGGCUAUCGCUUACAGAUGGGCCCGCGGUGCAUUAGCUAGUUGGUAGGGUAAUGGCCUACCAAGGCAACGAUGCAUAGCCGACCUGAGAGGGUGAUCGGCCACACUGGGACUGAGACACGGCCCAGACUCCUACGGGAGGCAGCAGUGGGGAAUAUUGCACAAUGGACGCAAGUCUGACGGAGCAACGCCGCGUGAGUGAUGAAGGUCUUCGGAUCGUAAAGCUCUGUUGUUAGGGAAGAACAUAUGUGUAAGUAACUGUGCACAUCUUGACGGUACCUAACCAGAAAGCCACGGCUAACUACGUGCCAGCAGCCGCGGUAAUACGUAGGUGGCAAGCGUUAUCCGGAAUUAUUGGGCGUAAAGCGCGCGUAGGCGGUUUUUUAAGUCUGAUGUGAAAGCCCACGGCUCAACCGUGGAGGGUCAUUGGAAACUGGAAAACUUGAGUGCAGAAGAGGAAAGUGGAAUUCCAUGUGUAGCGGUGAAAUGCGCAGAGAUAUGGAGGAACACCAGUGGCGAAGGCGGCUUUCUGGUCUGCAACUGACGCUGAGGUGCGAAAGCGUGGGGAUCAAACAGGAUUAGAUACCCU